GGAGUCAUGGGGAACACCGAAGAGAAACCACGAUUUCCAACAGCCAAGAGAAAUAACAGCCUAGCUGCCGAGUUGUCUUUCCAGGUGAGCCGCGGCUGAAACAGAUUUAUUCUCGGGGGAAAAGGUGACUGGGAUUUAAGAACACUGGAAAAGAAACAGCCUCAUUUCAGAAAAAUGCCUGUGUGAACUCAGGUGACUCAAACUGGGGAAAUGGUAAGUUAAGCAACAGCCGUGAAGUUAGGAGCUUAAAUUACGGAGAAAACCGUGUUUAAAAUAAACGGCCAAGGAAUGGCAACAAACCAGCUGGGGCAAACCGAUGACAGUACUCUUAAUGCAGCUCAUGCUUGUCACUCUGCCACUCCACAUUCUCACAUUCCGUGAAAGUCGCCUUCCAGCUGCCAGAGCCCCUCCACCUUUUCCACUCCCUUCCGCCCCAGGGCUGGGAAGGGAUGGAGUCUGAAUGGAGAUUUUUGGUUAAUUCACCUCACUGUAGCCCAGAAGAAGCAAUAUAAGGAUGAAGGCCCCCUUUGCCUAAUUUCUCUAACCUAGACGUCAGUCUGAUUUAUGAGUAAAUAUCCUUCCAACCAGAGAUUAGCACAUGAAAGAAAUAGCUCUGGCCUGGGGAAAUAAAGCCUUAGCCAAGAAGGAAUGCAGAUGAGCGUGAACAAUGGCCCUAUACCUCGUGCCGCUCUACCUCUGUAUGCAUGUCAUCUAUUGCUUACACAUUAUGUGCUUAUUCCAUGAUGGACCCUUGUCAUACAAAGGUGAAGAGGCCAACAUACAUGCGAGCACUUAUAAAGGCAUCCCAAAACGUUCGUUCCUAAUUCCUGGCAGCUGUAAAUCUUGCCUUCUGUGGUUUGCAAAGGUCUUGCAGAUGUGGUAAUUGAGGCUCUUGAGAUGGCGUGGUUAGCCUGGAUUGUCCAGGUGGGCCCUCAGUGCAGUCACAGGUGUCCUUACAAGCGAGAGGGAGAAGAGAUUUAACGCAGGCAGAUGAGGAGGCUGCCCUGGUAUCACCGAGGCAG
rnacentral:lncRNA from 1 species